AGUAAUAAAACUACAUAGAAAAGCAAACUUUACAUAGAAAAUGUAAAUUUGCACAAAUAUUGUUGUAAAUUGGAGAGAAUUUUGAUUAAAAAAAAAUAAUAAUACUCCGUAUUAAUGAUACUUGAAAAAAGAGCAAAUAGGACUAUUAUUUUGGAGUUCAUAUAAAAGUUGGGUACUCAACUUUGGGCUUUGUUGCAAAUUAGGUACUCAACUUUCAAUAUUGACAAAUUAGGUACUAUGACCUGCCUAAAUCUUCUUUUCCGGCAAGUAACCUACACUACCAGGUUACCAGGCCAUAUUGCAUUCUAUUAAAUAAAAAAAAAAACUAAACUAACUUAACCUUUUUCUCUCUCCUCCUUUUCUCUAUUCCUCCAUUAACAAACCUCCAUUUAUUUUUCAAUUUUGCAGUAAUAUUUUUAACAUUUCUACUUUUGCUCUUUGCACUUUAUUAUUGGUGCAAUUCGAAUUUUUUUUUUUUUUAAUAUUUAAUUUUGGAAAUUUUCGAGAAUUUUUUGCUGAUGAUCGAAUUACAACUGGCACAAUUUUUGGUGGAGCGAAUGAGUAGCCGUUUUGCACGGGUUGUGGCGUGCCGCGUGUCAUGCUUGGCCAUGCCAUGUGUCUUGCUCGCGAGCCAAAGUGUCGUGCCGUCCGCGGGUUCUUGUUGUGUCUGUGCCGAAUUUUUGAAAUCGUGUUCAUGAUACGGCCCACGACCCACUCCUUGAUCACCAUGCCGUGCCGUGCCAUUUUUGUGCUACGCCAGUGCUGCCCACGGGCCGACCCGGCCCAUACCCAUCUGUUUCUGCAGGAAUCCGAUAACCCGAAUCCAAGAUCCGAAGCUCGAAUAUAUGACCCGUUCUGCUCCUAUCGGCCAAGUAAGAACCUGCACAAAGAGAAGAGAUGAGCUAGCCCCGGGGUGAAUCCGGGGAUAACCACUCCAAAGAUUAAGUCAGCAAGUGUUUAUAGAAGAAAGAUGAUUUAUAGAGAGAAAGUAAUGAGAGAGAGAGAGAGUAGUGAGAGAAAGAGUGUAAUUAAUGAUCUCUCUCUUAUGAAGUAAAACCAGAUUAUUUAUAGGUUUACUAA